rnacentral:rRNA from 1 species
CCCUUAGAUGUUCUGGGCCGCACGCGCGCUACACUGAUGAAUUCAACGAGCACUAACCUGUGCAGAAAUGUUCGGGUAAUCUUGUGAAAUUUCAUCGUGAUGGGGAUUGAUUAUUGCAAUUAUUAAUCAUAAACGAGGAAUGCCUAGUAAGCGUGAGUCAUCAGCUCACGUUGAUUACGUCCCUGCCCUUUGUACACACCGCCCGUCGCUCCUACCGAUUGAAUGUGCUGGUGAAAAGUUCGGAUUGGGAAUAGGAGACGGCAACGUAUCCUGUUUCUGAGAAAAUCUUUAAACCCUCCCAUUUAGAGGAAGGAGAAGGCGUAACA